AGCGAACGCUGGCGGCAGGCCUAACACAUGCAAGUCGAACGAAGUCUUCGGACUUAGUGGCGGACGGGUGAGUAACACGUGGGAACGUGCCUUUAGGUUCGGAAUAAUUCAGGGAAACUUGUGCUAAUACCGAAUGUGCCCUUCGGGGGAAAGAUUUAUCGCCUUUAGAGCGGCCCGCGUCUGAUUCGCUAGUUGGGGGGGUAAUGGCCCACCAAGGCUACGAUCAGUAGCUGGUCUGAGAGGAUGACCAGCCACAUUGGGACUGAGACACGGCCCAAACUCCUACGGGAGGCAGCAGUGGGGAAUCUUGCGCAAUGGGCGAAAGCCUGACGCAGCCAUGCCGCGUGGAUGAUGAAGGUCUUAGGAUUGUAAAAUCCUUUCACCGGUGAAGAUAAUGACUGUAGCCGGAGAAGAAGCCCCGGCUAACUUCGUGCCAGCCGCCGCCGUAA
rnacentral:rRNA from 1 species